CAUUAGCUAGUUGGUAGGGUAACGGCCUACCAAGGCAACGAUGGCUAGGGGUUCUAAAAGGAUGAUCCCCCACACUGGUACUGAGACACGGACCAGACUCCUACGGGAGGCAGCAGUGAGGAAUAUUGGUCAAUGGUCGAGAGACUGAACCAGCCAUGCCGCGUGUAGGAUGACUGCCCUAAGGGUUGUAAACUACUUUUGUAUAGGAAGAACAGCAGAUACGUGUAUUUGUGUGACGGUACUAUACGAAUAAGCAUCGGCUAACUCCGUGCCAGCAGCCGCGGUAAUACGGAGGAUGCAGGCGUUAUCCGGAUUUAUUAGGUUUAAAGGGUGCGUAGGCGGGAUUAUAAGUCAGUGGUGAAAUCUUACGGCUCAACCGUAAAACUGCCAUUGAUACUGUAGUUCUUGAGUUUAGUCGAGGUAGGCGGAAUGUGUAAUGCAGCGGUGAAAUGCAUAGAUAUUACACAGAACACCGAUUGCGAAGGCAGCUUACUAGACUAUAACUGACGCUGAUGCACGAAAGCGUGGGUAGCGAACAGGAUUAGAUACCCUGAUAGUCCACGCCGUAAACGAUGAUCACUCGUUGUGUGCGAUAUAUUGUACGUGACUGA
rnacentral:rRNA from 1 species